rnacentral:rRNA from 1 species
UACGUAGGGGGCGAGCGUUAUCCGGAUUCACUGGGUGUAAAGGGAGCGUAGACGGCCAAGCAGGCCAGGGGUGAAAGCCCGGGGCCCAACCCCGGGACUGCCCUUGGAACUGCAUGGCUGGAGUGCGGGAGGGGCAGGCGGAAUUCCUGGUGUAGCGGUGAAAUGCGUAGAUAUCAGGAGGAACACCGGCGGCGAAGGCGGCCUGCUGGACUGCGACUGACGUUGAGGCUCGAAAGCGUGGGGAGCGAACAGG